GGUUACAGCCAUACCACCUUGAAUGGGCCUGAUCUCCUCUGAUAUCUGGAGCUAAGCAGGGUUAGGCCUGGUUAGUAUUUGGAAGGGAGACAUAUCCUUAACAUUUUAAUAU
rnacentral:rRNA from 1 species